rnacentral:rRNA from 1 species
GAUGAACGCUAGCUACAGGCUUAACACAUGCAAGUCGAGGGGCAGCAGGGAUUUAGCUUGCUAAAUCCGCUGGCGACCGGCGCACGGGUGCGUAACGCGUAUCCAGCUUUCCCGUUACUCAGGGAUAGCCUUCCGAAAGGGAGAUUAAUACCUGCUGGUGUUUGAAAUUCGCAUGUUCUUCAAACUAAAGCUUUACCGGUAACGGAUAGGGAUGCGUGAAAUUAGAUAGUGGGCGGGGUAACGGCCGACCUAGUAUACGAUGUCUAGGGGUUCUGAGAGGAAGGUCCCCCACACUGGAACUGAGACACGGUCCAGACUCCUACGGGAGGCAGCAGUGAGGAAUAUUGGUCAAUGGUCGAAAGACUGCACCAGCCAAGUAGCGUGAAGGAUGAAGGUUCUAUGGAUUGUAAACUUCUUUUAUACGGGAAUAAAACAUCCCACGUGUGGGAUCUUGUAUGUACCGUAUGAAUAAGCAUCGGCUAACUCCGUGCCAGCAGCCGCCGUAACAC